rnacentral:rRNA from 1 species
UACGUAGGGGGCAAGCGUUAUCCGGAUUUACUGGGUGUAAAGGGUGCGUAGGUGGCAGGGCAAGUCUGAAGUGAAAUGCCGGGGCCCAACCCCGGAACUGCUUUGGAAACUGUGCAGCUGGAGUGCAGGAGAGGCAGGCGGAAUUCCUGGUGUAGCGGUGAAAUGCGUAGAUAUCAGGAGGAACACCGGUGGCGAAGGCGGCCUGCUGGACGGUGACUGACGCUGAGGCUCGAAAGCGUGGGUAUCGA